rnacentral:misc_RNA from 1 species
UGUAGGAGCUGGCUUGCCUGCGAUAGCAUCACCUCGGUAUACCUGAUGGACCGAGUCGUCUGCAUCGCAGGCAAGCCAGCUCCCACA